rnacentral:tRNA from 1 species
GGGCGAUUAGCUCAGCUGGCUAGAGCGGCUGAUUUACAUUCAGCAGGUCCCUGGUUCGAGCCCAGGAUCGCCCA